rnacentral:lncRNA from 1 species
UUCACAAUAAAUCUCCACUUCCUGUUAAACAUGAUAAGUUGGGCUACAGAAGCCGCACAGGAUCAUCGCAAACAUACGAGUCAAACUAAACAGGAAUUAACAGCAGUUUUCCAACCAUAUUUCUCAAGAUUGCAAUAAAAUAAACUUCUUCUCUUACUCUUUGUACUGUGCAGUUGUCGUUUAAUCUCUCUAAAGAUUGAAUUUGCUUUAUAUAAUUGAGGUCUCAUGAGUAAAAACAAGGAAAUAACAUCAAUUCAAUAAUUUUCUCCUUGCUGCUGCUCUUUUCACAGAUUCUGAUAUCACAGAGGAGCUCAUUAAAAUAAAAAACAGCCUCACCCAUUAUUUUUUAAGCCGUUUUAAUGUUUUGGAUACUAAAUAUUGUUAAGUAGCCUUCACAUGAAUGCUCGUUUGACGGUUUUCACACUUCCAUCCAUGGACAGUGUGGAGUGGCUGCACCCUCGCCGCUCUCUGCUGACCACACGGGCUGAAAAACUGCCAACGGCGAACAAAAUUCAUGUCUACAUUUGCAACUAGUCUGUGAAAAGUAACACCUAAAACUGAGUGGGAACGAUGCUGUUAAACUGAAGUCUGUAGUUUCCUCUUUAUUCAUGUUUCACCGCGUCACCUGCUGACGAGUAUAUAAGGUGAUCCUCGGACACAGGUGGAGCUCCUCAUCAUGCCGAUCUGAAGAGGUAAGAGUGACGUUCAGAACAUAUUCUUGUUAUUUUUAGUCAAAUAUACACAAAUGUCUUAAUAGCAGCUAUUUUAGAAGGCUUAUCGGAUCUAAAUCUUACUAUUGCCACACAAUUAGUAAAUGAGAAACCAUACAACUGUCAUCUUUUUACGUAACAAUUGUGCAACUGUUGUCCCCAGAUGGCUGUCUUAGCCGUGGCAGUGUUUGUAGCGUUGUCAUCCUGUGCAGUUGGCUGCUCGGGAAGCACAAAUUCUACUGAGCUGAUGUUAUGGAGGAUGGAAGAUCAACCUCUGGCUGUGCGACUAGCUGCUGUGAUCAAGGUGUUGUGACAUACCUGUGACCUGACGAGCUGAAUAAUUGAUUUGGCAAUUGAAAGAAAGGCGGCAAUAGAACAGUAUAAGAAGACUGUAACACAUUUUCACUUAAAGGUCCAAUAUGUAGGAUUUCAAAGGGUGUUUUCAUUGGUUUAUAAUCACCUGAAAAGUUUAUAAGGUAGCCCAGAAUGGACAAAUUAAGCACUGAGUCCAUAGAGGGACUUGAGGGUGAGAUGAGAUGCCACUAAAUCCUACACGCUUGACCUGACUUUGUACACAAGUACUGGCGUC